rnacentral:rRNA from 1 species
AGCAAAUCCCCAAAAACUUAGUCUCAGUUCNGAUUGCAGGCUGAAACUCGCCUGCAUGAAGUCGGAAUUGCUAGUAAUCGCAGAUCAGCAUGCUGCGGUGAAUACGUUCCCGGGCCUUGUACACACCGCCCGUCACACCAUGAGAGUCUGUAACACCCAAAGCCGGUGAGAUAACCUUUAUAGGAGUCAGCCGUCUAAGGUAGGACAGAUGAUUAGGGUGAAGUCGUAACAAGGUAUC